rnacentral:rRNA from 1 species
AUUGAACGCUGGCGGCAUGCCUUACACAUGCCAGUCGAACGGUAACGGGCCUUCGGGUGCCGACGAGUGGCGAACGGGUGAGUAAUACAUCGGAACGUGCCCGAUCGUGGGGGAUAACGAGGCGAAAGCUUUGCUAAUACCGCAUACGAUCUACGGAUGAAAGCAGGGGACCGCAAGGCCUUGCGCGGACUGAGCGGCCGAUGGCAGAUUAGGUAGUUGGUGGGAUAAAAGCUUACCAAGCCGACGAUCUGUAGCUGGUCUGAGAGGAUGAUCAGCCACACUGGGACUGAGACACGGCCCAGACUCCUACGGGAGGCAGCAGUGGGGAAUUUUGGACAAUGGGCGCAAGCCUGAUCCAGCCAUGCCGCGUGCAGGAUGAAGGCCUUCGGGUUGUAAACUGCUUUUGUACGGAACGAAAAGCCUUCUUUUAAUACAGGAGGGUCAUGACGGUACCGUAAGAAUAAGCACCGGCUAACUACGUG